CUGCGGUCAAUUUAAGACAACUGUGCUUUUCCCUCGAGGGAUGAACCCUGUGUGCAAUGCCUGCAGACAACAGCCUCCUUGGUAGUUUUCCUGUUACCUCUUGUCUGUGUGGGUUGCCCUAAGGAAACUUGAAGACUGCG